rnacentral:rRNA from 1 species
GUUAAGCGACUAAGCGUACACGGUGGAUGCCCUGGCAGUCAGAGGCGAUGAAGGACGUGCUAAUCUGCGAUAAGCGUCGGUAAGGUGAUAUGAACCGUUAUAACCGGCGAUUUCCGAAUGGGGAAACCCAGUGUGUUUCGACACACUAUCAUUAACUGAAUCCAUAGGUUAAUGAGGCGAACCGGGGGAACUGAAACAUCUAAGUACCCCGAGGAAAAGAAAUCAACCGAGAUUCCCCCAGUAGCGGCGAGCGAACGGGGAGCAGCCCAGAGCCUGAAUCAGUGUGUGUGUUAGUGGAAGCGUCUGGAAAGGCGCGCGAUACAGGGUGACAGCCCCGUACACAAAAAUGCACAUGCUGUGAGCUCGAUGAGUAGGGCGGGACACGUGGUAUCCUGUCUGAAUAUGGGGGGACCAUCCUCCAAGGCUAAAUACUCCUGACUGACCGAUAGUGAACCAGUACCGUGAGGGAAAGGCGAAAAGAACCCCGGCGAGGGGAGUGAAAAAGAACCUGAAACCGUGUACGUACAAGCAGUGGGAGCACGCUUAGGCGUGUGACUGCGUACCUUUUGUAUAAUGGGUCAGCGACUUAUAUUCUGUAGCAAGGUUAACCGAAUAGGGGAGCCGAAGGGAAACCGAGUCUUAACUGGGCGUUAAGUUGCAGGGUAUAGACCCGAAACCCGGUGAUCUAGCCAUGGGCAGGUUGAAGGUUGGGUAACACUAACUGGAGGACCGAACCGACUAAUGUUGAAAAAUUAGCGGAUGACUUGUGGCUGGGGGUGAAAGGCCAAUCAAACCGGGAGAUAGCUGGUUCUCCCCGAAAGCUAUUUAGGUAGCGCCUCGUGAAUUCAUCUCCGGGGGUAGAGCACUGUUUCGGCAAGGGGGUCAUCCCGACUUACCAACCCGAUGCAAACUGCGAAUACCGGAGAAUGUUAUCACGGGAGACACACGGCGGGUGCUAACGUCCGUCGUGAAGAGGGAAACAACCCAGACCGCCAGCUAAGGUCCCAAAGUCAUGGUUAAGUGGGAAACGAUGUGGGAAGGCCCAGACAGCCAGGAUGUUGGCU